CCUACGGGAGGCAGCAGUGGGGAAUAUUGCGCAAUGGGCGCAAGCCUGACGCAGCCACGCCGCGUGAAGGAUGAAGGUCUUCGGAUCGUAAACCUCUGUCAGCAGGGAAGAACGCUCACUUUUCUGAUCACCCGUGAAUUGACGGUACCUACAAAGGCAGCACCGGCUAACUCCGUGCCAGCAGCCGCGGUAAUACGGAGGGUGCGCGCGUUCAUCGGAAUUACUGGGCGUAAAGCUCUCGUAGGCGGUAUGUUAAGUCAAGGGUGAAAUCCCCGGGCUCAACGUGGGAAUUGCCUUUGAUACUGGGAAACUGGAGUGUGUGAGAGGAGAGUAGAAUUCCAGGUGUAGGAGUGAAAUCCGUAGAGAUCUGGAGGAAUACCGGUGGCGAAGGCGAC
rnacentral:rRNA from 1 species